AGAGUUUGAUCCUGGCUCAGGACGAACGCUGGCGGCGUGCCUAACACAUGCAAGUCGAGCGGAGAUUGCAGCAAUGUAAUCUUAGCGGCGGACUGGUGAGUAACGCGUGGGCAACCUGCCUCAUACAGGGGGAUAACACAGGGAAACUUGUGCUAAUACCGCAUAACAUCACUUUGGGACAUCCCGAGGUGAUCAAAGGA
rnacentral:rRNA from 1 species